rfam:Stegodyphus mimosarum contig35944, whole genome shotgun sequence.
GCCUUCAUGGUGUAGUGGUCAGCAUGCUCAACGUGUAUUCGAGAGAUCCGCGGUUCAAAUCCUGGCGAGGGCA